GUUGGCCAUUGUCUGAACAUUGGCCCCUGUAGGUGGAGGUUAAAUGUGAUGGUCAAACAACUGAAAUCGCUGAGAUGCUCAAACAAGAACAAAAAUGGAAAUAAAAAUUAACAAAUUCAAAUGUCCAGUUUUCCAAAAUAGUGAUGUGCAUUUAGAUGUUUUUGAGGAUCUAAGUGUUUUGCUAUAAUAGUAAUUUCUUAUUAUGUUGCUACAAAUAAAAUGAUUAUAAAAUAUGAGUUAAAUAGAAAGCACCGUGAUUGUGGUUUACACUUUCAAACGUGGUGUUUCUCAUCUGUAGGACUUAUUACUCCAUAAGGAAGCAUUGAGGAAUGACUGAGAGCAUGUGUUCUAGAGGCCUGGGAUCAAAUUAUGUCUCAGACUUUUCCUAGCUGUGUGACCUCAGGCAAAAAACUGUUCAGAAAGACACUCUGGUACUGUUCCCAUCAUGCUCUUUGGGGAAAUAUAGCAAACCUAUAGGUGUCUAUGUAAGGCUUGUGUCCUCAAAAGACCUUGAUUUUGAUGUGAAGGCAAAGGCAAUAAAAGAUGUAAAGCAACUAACCUGGGCCCCUUCUAAGUGCCUAGCACUGUUCUGGACACGUGGGGAUACAUCUGGAACCAAAUGGAUGAUAACCGCUGCCCAGUGGAGCUUACCUUUCUUCAGUGAAAUAAGCUAGGUUGCAUGACCCAGUUUUGUCCUUCAGAAAGGAACAGCAUCUUGACUCUGUCAACUUGCAUACCACAUGGGGUCGGUAAAUUACUAAAACUCUCUGGGCUUCAAAUUGGUCACCCACAGAUACGGGUUAUGCAGAUAACAGGAACUCAACAAAAAGUUGUGAGAAUAAAUAGAUAAUAUAAAAGUGUCUGAUAAGUAAUAAAUGCUCAAAUAUACUAGUUGCUAUCUCCUCCUCUUAAAAUGAUGUAGGCUUUCUUAUGUUUUCAUUCUGGAUUCUUCAAAGGGCCAAGUCCUUCAUUUUGAGACUCCUGGAGACUCACAUAUGGCAACUCUCGGUGAAAAUUUGGUAGCAUGAAUGAAAUACUCUUUUCUACAUAUUCAAAAUAUGUUUUCAACAUGAACAUUGAGGAUGCUUGGAAGCAGAAUCACUGACCCUUUGUGAAACCUAAGCUAAAUACCACACUCUUCUUAAUGCCAAGAAGCAGAGUUGGGUUUAUUAACACUUGCACAAAUGUGUGUAUGUAUGUAAGGGUGUUCCCUUAGACAAACUUUGCUACUCACUUUGGAAGGCAUGGCUGACCCUUAGUUGACCUGCUACAUGAGGUACAAAUCAACUGGGUAACGGAGGGCCUUUUUGCAAUGUCAAAACUCAAUGCUCAUUCAAUAUUCUCUGGACUGCUCCGGGCAUUGUAAAAGCUGUAAAUUUGUAGGUCUUUGAUGUCUAGCCUCCAGUCAGUCCCUGGUCCCAUUUGGCUUUCUGUAAAAUUAAGUCUCUCAGUGUGGCUGUCCAGAGUAACCACGAAAGAAUGUUUAUGCAGUAGGAACAGUUUCUCUGGACAGUUUUUCACUGAGAUCAGUGGUGAGCCUCUGGCAUCCUGAUACUUACAGACUUCUUAGUGUGACAAUUUUGGCGUCAGUUAUCCAGAGAGAAGCAUUGUCAGUGCAACAGGAAUUGGCCCAUGUCAAGCUGACAGAGUUACACUGCUAGCUGAGGGGGACUGCUGGUGUAUAAGUCUCACA